CCGGCGAGUGGCGAACGGGUGAGUAAUAUAUCGGAACGUACCGAGUAAUGGGGGAGUAACCAAUCGAAAGAUUGGCUAAUACCGCAUACGUCCUGAGGGAGAAAGCGGGGGAUCGCAAGACCUCGCGUUAUUCGAGCGGCCGAUAACUGAUUAGCUAGUUGGUGGGGUAAAGGCCUACCAAGGCGACGAUCAGUAGCGGGUCUGAGAGGACGAUCCGCCACACUGGGACUGAGACACGGCCCAG
rnacentral:rRNA from 1 species